CAAAAAAAUUACUUUUUGAAAAAAUGUGGAAGCUGACAAUUAAAUAAUGACUCAACAAAUGAUUAAAAAAUCCAGUGUAAUAAUUUUAGCUGAUGGUCCCAAUAAUAUAUCUCGAUGGUCUGAGGUCAAAAUUAAACAUAUUCACCAAACAUAUUAAAUUCAGUCAAUUUAUGAAACAGAAGUGAAAUAUUUGUGUUUGGCGAACAAGCCUUGCUGCAAAAAGCGCCUGUACGCAUGCGCGGGGGAUGGAGUCUGGUUGGAGCAGAUUCAAUAUUCCGGCGCGCGCACGCAGCAAUAACAGCUGACGUCUGACGAAACUUCAUAUUCAGACGGAUUUUCCUUCAACAAAGUUAUGACACGUCUCAGUCAUCAUCUCUAUCUGCACUGCUGUGAUGCAGAGAGGGCUCCUUCUCUGUUUUGAGCCGUAGCAGUGACAGACUUGUCAAGACAACCCAAAUGAAUGAAAUGUGAUGAAGAGCCCUUACAGAGUGUCCAAAGAUACACGUCUCAGUCAUCAUCUCUAUCUGCACUGCUGUGAUGCAGAGAGGUCUCCUUCUCUGUUUUGAGCCGUAGCAGUGACAGACUUGUCAAGACAACCCAAAUGAAUGAAAUGUGAUGAAGAGCCCUUACAGAGUGUCCAAAGAUAAUAGUUGUUUCCACAAAUCCACCUGUGACUUCCACAUCUUCAGGUGAUUCUGAUGUUACUCUUCUGCUGGAGAACAGGUA